rnacentral:rRNA from 1 species
UACGUAGGUGGCAAGCGUUGUCCGGAAUUAUUGGGCGUAAAGCGCGCGCAGGCGGCCCUGUGCGCUGCCGGUGAAAGCUCCCGGCUUACCUGGGAGAGGUUCGGCAGGACGGCAGGGCUGGAGGGUGGGAGAGGUCGGUGGAAUUCCCGGUGUAGUGGUGAAAUGCGUAGAGAUCGGGAGGAACACCCGUAGCGAAGGCGGCCGACUGGACCACACCUGACGCUGAGGCGCGAAGGCCAGGGGAGCGAACGGG